UACAGAGGUCUCAAGCGUUGUUCGGAUUCAUUGGGCGUAAAGGGUGCGUAGGUGGCGGGGUAAGUCAGGUGUGAAAUCUCGGAGCUCAACUCCGAAACUGCACUUGAUACUGCCUUGCUCGAGUACUGGAGAGGAGAUUGGAAUUUACGGUGUAGCAGUGAAAUGCGUAGAUAUCGUAAGGAAGACCAGUGGCGGAGGCGAAUCUCUGGACAGUUACUGACACUGAGGCACGAAGGCCAGGGGAGCAAACGGG
rnacentral:rRNA from 1 species